GGGGUUGUAGCUCAGCUAAGAGAGCGCCGGUUCGACAGACCGGAGGGCACGUUGGCGGCGAUCGUGGAUGCGCGACCGCGAUCCCCGCCGGCUCCA
rnacentral:tRNA from 1 species